GUACACGCUGUGACUAGCAUAUCAAUAAGCGGAGGAAAAGAAACUAACAAGGAUUCCCCUAGUAACGGCGAGUGAAGCGGGAAGAGCUCAAAUUUGAAAUCUUAAAGGGUUUCCCUUUACGAAUUGUAGUUUAAAGAAGUGUUUUCUGUUGAGGUUUUGGUAAAAGUUCUUUGGAAUAGGACAUCAUAGAGGGUGAGAAUCCCGUAUUUGACCUUUACUUUCAACUUUGUGAUACACUUUCAAAGAGUCGGAUUGUUUGGGAAUGCAGUCCAAAAUGGGUGGUAAAUUUCAUCUAAAGCUAAAAUAUUGGCGAGAGACCGAUAGCGAACAAGUACCGUGAGGGAAAGAUGAAAAGAACUUUGAAAAGAGAGUUAAACAGUACGUGAAAUUGUCAAAAGGGAAGCGUUUGACACCAGUGUUGUUUUUCUGAAAAUCAAUUAAAGAACUGUUUAUGCUAAGCUGUUUAGACUUUAUCAGCUAAUCUGUUUAGUUUUGAGCUUUUCUUUAAUGCACUUUUCAGUUAACAAGUCAACAUCAAUUUCUUUUGCUGUAAAAAAGCUUGAGGAAGGUGGCUUGAGAUUCGUCUUAAGUGUUUAUAGCCUCUUGCCUAUGCAGUCGGAGAGAUUGAGGUCUGCAGCGUAGAUCCUUCGGGGCUAAAUGCAUUUGUGCUAAGUUAUAGCAUUUUAUAGACAACUUGUUGACUAUGAUUUGUCUUGUAGCUUACUCGCUUAUGUUAUUUUACCUACGCUUAGGAUGUUGAAGAUGUAGCACAUCAU
rnacentral:rRNA from 1 species